rnacentral:rRNA from 1 species
AGUGCAUGAAGCUGGAAUCGCUAGUAAUCGCAAAUCAGAAUGUUGCGGUGAAUACGUUCCCGGGUCUUGUACACACCGCCCGCCACACCAUGGGAGUUGGAAAUGCCCGAAGUCAGUGACCCAACCUAAGGGAGGGAGCUGCCGAAGGCAGGUUCGAUGACUGGGGUGAAGUCGUAACAAGGUAUC